GACGAACGCUGGCGGCGUGCCUAAUACAUGCAAGUCGAACGCUUCGUUCCUGCCGAGUGCUUGCGCUCGAGUGGCGAACGGGGUAGCGGCCGGGUGGUUAACACGUGUUUAACCUAGCCUUCAGUGGGGGAAAACAGGUGAAAACAGGUUCUAAUACCGCGUAACAGUUUGUGCCUUGUAGCGUAAGGGUGGAAGGGGCUUUCGGGUGUGGUUGUUGGAUUGAUCCGCGGUGCAUGGGAUAGUUGGUGAGGUAAGGGUUGACCAAGUGAGCGAUGGAUAGACGACGUGAGAGGGUGAUCGCCGACCCUGGGACUGAGACAGGGACAAGACGCCUACGGGACGCAGCAGUCGGGAAUCUUAGGCAAUGGACGAAAGUAUGACAGAGCAACGCGGAGCGAGUGAAGACGGCGUUCGGAUCGUAAAGCUCUGUUGUUGGAGAAGAACAAGGACGUUAGUAAACGAAGGGUCAGUGACGGUAUCUAAUCAGAAAGCACCGGCUAACUACGUG
rnacentral:rRNA from 1 species